rnacentral:rRNA from 1 species
UACAGAGGGUGCGAGCGUUGUUCGGAAUUACUGGGCGUAAAGCGCGCGCAGGCGGCCCGUUAAGUCUGCAGGUGAAAUGCCGGGGCUCAACCCCGUGCAUGCCUCGGAUACUGGGGGGCUGGAGAGACGUAGAGGCAAGCGGAAUUCCGGGUGUAGCGGUGGAAUGCGUAGAGAUCCGGAAGAACACCGGAGGCGAAGGCGGCUUGCUGGGCGUUGUCUGACGCUGAGGCGCGAAAGCGUGGGGAGCGAACAGG